ACCACUAUAUAAGCCCCUGUACAAAAAUGUAACAGUGUUCCAAGGACAGGAGGACGACGGUCCUUACGUUAAAUGGGCUAAGACAAUAACGAAAUUAGCAUCGUGUUCAACAUGAAGGUGACGAUCGACAUGCCAAAAAGAUGAAUUUCAACUAUACCAGCCAGAAUAUAGCAUGAGCUUAAGUAUGGCAACUUGGUAUGAACUUUGAACUCUUAUUCACUCCAGAAGUGAUACCUCCUAGCCGUUGAGUUAGCAGCAGCCGCUGUAAACGUGGACUAGGAAAGGACGGACGACAUAUCCAGUCUAACACACAACGACGAUACUACAACGUUCUCAGUUUACCACCAGAGACAUUCUUCAGAGGACAAGAGAUCCCUGCUGGGCAAACCGGCCUUCCAUCUACAACCAAACAAUUGAAGCGCAGCUCAGAAUAUCAAUGGAAAUGCAAAAUUGGCAGAUUUUGGCAUAAGUCGCAGACUGACAGUGGAACAAACAACUCUACACACAGUCCCUGCAGGAACAAAAUGCUGGAUGGCCAAGGAGACGUUAGACAAACAAGGCUCUGGAUAUAAGAGGAGCUCUGACAUACAGGUGGCUGGGAUGUUGGUAUACUACGUUCUUUCUGGUGGACACCACCCCUUUGAAGGUCCACUUGGUGAGGAACUUGAACAGAAUCAAAACAUAAUCAAGGGGACUUACACACUAGAACAUGUGGCAGACGAGGUGACAAAAGACCUCAUUGAGUGGAUGAUCAAUGAAGACCCUGCUGGGAGACAAAUGCAUAAGAAGUCUGUGCCAAGACUGGAAGGCAGUUGUAUUCAUGAUCCAGCUCGGCCUUUAUUAUGACGUAAAAAAUGUAUAUUUGAACUCACAUGCUCCGGUAUUUGUGAAAUAUGAUUGACCAAAUAUUUCCAUGACAUACAUUUGAAAAGUGCUGAACAAAUAGUUAUACUGGCAAUGCCCAUCUUAGCUCGCUCAUUGAUGUCUUAAUUGAAAUCACGGAUUGCCUCAUCUGCUUGUUGUCCCCUUAUGCCAUAGUUUGUACAUCUCAAUUGUCAGUAGAAACCACAUUUGUUUAAACGAGUCAGCCAUAUCAACUAUAUUUGUUUUUUAAAUAAGUAAAUGAGGCUGAAUGAACUGUUUCACUGCCAGACAAGGCUCCACUGAUACCCUGGUGUAUCAGUGGUAAAGUGUUGGGACUGCUGUUGGGACUCUGUUGUUGGGACAGCUUUAUGUACCGUUUCUGGGCACAGUUUGUCACUGUUAUAGUGCAAUUCAUGUUUUGUUUACUGUUGUGCUCUGUACUGGCGUUGCUGGCAUGCAUCCCACGUUUUUUGGGGUUUUGUUUGCCCCACCAAUAUUUACAUGCUAAAAUCGACACUGGUUGCAAUAUGUAAUGUUUUGGGCAACCUCACCAAUUUCACAUACAACUGUGAGUUAUAGAUCUGUCAUUCUUGUUGAAAGCCAGUCUAAAAGCAGUAGAUUUGUUCUAUGUGUACUUUUAUAUGCUUCCCGUUCUUAAGGUUUGUUUUUGCGUCUUUUACUUAGAACUUAUAUCCACUUUGGCUUCAUAAACCACUGCUACUGUUUACCACAAAGAGCAUUUGAUUCUGUCUCAUCUCCUCUACCUUUCUCACGUCUACUCCUGCUCCUCCCCUCCAGUGUUCGACAUGGCUGGUUUACGAACCACCGGUCCUGGGAUCCAUCAUUACGGGCACCUGGCAUUCAUCACUACGCUCACCUGUGCUUCAUUGAGCACACCUGUACUCCAUUACCUCACGUAUUACCUCCCCUUUAUCUGGCACUCCCUUAGGUUCUUUCCCUGGGCAGUAUUGUAUUAUUUUGUUCAUGUCUAGACGCUAUGCCGUAUUGGUCUAUGGUACUUGCGCUAUUCAACUUACCCCCUGUGUCUUGACUCCCAGCAUCUAGGUUACAGAAUACUGCUUCACAAAAUGGAAGCAGCAGAUGGUCGACAAGCAGGGAUACCUACUUUGUAAUCACCAUGACCAGCGGGCACAACUGGGGACGGCUAUGGAAGAGGCUCUUCGCAGUGUUCAACGUCUUGAACAUACCAGAGAGGAGUUGCCUUCAACUAGUGGAGGAUACUCUACCACCAGCCCAUUCAGCUAACUGCGCAGGUCAGCGAUGUCCCUCCUGGAUAAAUAUGACAGCACCCCAUGUAAAUGCUGUGGCUUCUGACUACUGCAUUCUACUUUUCGCACCAGAUGGGAACUCCUACUGCCGAGAGGUCCAAGGUUGCCACGGUUAUUUCUCUGCUGACUGGGUGGGCAUUGGAAUGGGCCACAGAUGUCUGGGAGAGGAGCUGGAUUCGUAUGCAGGGUUCAUGGCUCGGUUCAGAGGUAUCUUCGAUCAUCCACUGGAGGGCAGAGAGGGGUGAGUGCCUACUCCAUCUACGGAGGACCAGAUGGCUGCUGAGUGGGCACUCAACAUCUGGACAGUAGCAACAUCCAGUGGCCUGACUGUGCGAAGAGGUUCAGAUGGGACUGGCCUAUCGAGGACAACGUCUGCUUGAUAUCACUCAUUGUGAUAGCCAUCCAGUUGGAUAACCUUUUUUUGGGAGCAUCGGCACUCAUCACUUCUCUCCCUCCCUCAGGUAACACUUUGGAUCAGAGCCUGAACCCAUGGGGGUAGGGGUCACUUGCCUCCCCGCAGGCGGCGAUAGUUGGGGCUCUGUCUCUAUUGUGGGCACCUGCUCCAACAGUGUCCGAUACGGAACAACUCGGGAUCCACAAGUGUAGAGGGAUGGUCACUUGAUCUUUUACUUCCUGGGGCAGAUUAUUAGUGGAUUCCUGUGCUGCGGGGAACUUUAUUGACCAGACCCUUGCCUCAACUUCAACUAAUACCCGCUCUCCUCGCCUUUCCUGGUUCAAGCCCUCGAUAAUCAGUAUUUAGGUUCCGGGACCAUCAGACACAUCAAACUACUCACUGCGCCCCCAUGCAGAUGCAUCUACCCUCUGUCGGGGGCUGAAACCCAGGCCAUCGAAGAGUACAUUCAUGAGGCGCUCCAACAAGGUACAUCCGCAUGUCCACUUCUCCCGUGUCCGCAGGUUAAUUCUUCGUGGCCAAGGAUGGAGGUUUACGCCUAUGUAUAUAUUAGAGGACUCGAUGACAUCACCAAGUACCGUUACCCUCUCCCAUUGUUGCCGGCAGCCAUUAAAGAGCUCUGCGGGGCUCAGUUUAACUUUUUUAUUUUAACCAAAUUGGACCUGCGGAGUGCAUACAAUCUCAUCUGCAUCAGGGAGGAUGACUGGAAUACAGCUUUUAGCACAAUAUCUGGUCACUGGAGGAUCACUUUGCGUGGAUGAGAAAUUAAGACUACAGUGGAGACCCUGAAUCAUCCCUCCUUCUGGAAACCACAGGAGAGUUGGGAAUGAGAGGAUGGGAAGUGUCGUAAUGCUGCCCAAGAGCUUCUGGAAGUGCUAUGGAGACAACCGUCUGUCAGUGGAGAUCCAAGCUGCUCUCUGAAUUGAUGAUGAAGAUGGAUGGCAGAAAGCCCUACCCUGAACAUGUUGGGGUUACUACGCUUCAUACGCAACCUCCAUGAGCACUAUGCUGAGGAUUUAGAAUUGGUUGACCUAAUGAAGAUGCUCCCUGAUCUCUUUGGAUGUGUCUACAUGUUGGCCAAGAAACAGAGCUGGAAUUCAAGGCCUGGUCUGAAAAAUGUAUUUCAGAAAGAUAUAAGCUCAUGGUUCUGAAAUGUAAAUUGUCAUGUGAAGUGAUGAAAUAUGACCUAUUGUAGUACUUUUGACUUGUAGGUAGAGCCACUGAUCUUAACUGUUUUAAGAACAUUUUAUAUUCUAUAGCUUCACAGAUCUAAACCAUAUGAUUUUUAUGAAUCUUACAUGGUUAUAGCAUACAUAUUAUGGGAGUUCAUAUGAAAAUACAGUACACACAAAGCUUUGAUAAAAUUAGUGCUUACUUUUUUACUUCAGUUAAGGUAUGCAGGAUUUGUAUUAAUAUAAAUGAUCUGAAUGAGAUUUCAGGGAUGUCUGGAUUAAAGUAUUGACAUCCUAUUUAAAAAAUAUAUGUUUUCCUUUAUAUGAAGUCUGCCCAAGAGUGCAUUGAAACAUGAUUGUAUUUCUUAAAUCCGUGAUCUAUCAAUGGAGGAGCUGUGAUUCUCUCGUGGAUAGAACUGUGACUGUUACAAAUGUAGUGUUGAUCAGCAACAGUUUUCUAUUAACCACCCUAAAAUGUUAAUGCACCUCUCAACAUAAUAAAUGGUAUCAAAGAGCAAUGUAUUUUUUUUUGACAUACCCAGACAUUCCCGCCCACCUGCAACAGCUGGUGUAGAGUAAACAAACUAGUAUGCAGUAGGAACAAAACAUUGUCCUCUUUCUGGUAUAAAGCCACACAUCCAGCACCAGAUCAACCACAAUGAAAAGCCGACCUGAGUCACCAGGAAUUCUGAUAGAGGGUAGUAGAACUACUGUCACCUGUGACGCCAGGUGGUCGCUUAGCCCACCCGGUUAGAUGGAAAUCAUACCAAUCUCACCAUUCAGGUGACGGUGGUUGACAUGCUGUUGUAAACGUAACUGCAUGUUUUAUUGUUAUCUUUGGGUUAAAGGAUGCACUCUGUACAUUCCUGUUGAAUUGUUAGAUGUAAUAUAUAGGCCAUUCUUGCAUGUCAUUUACCAUUUAUGUGACUGUGAGGAAAACCUGAAGUGAGCCUGGUAUAUCCCAACCUGAGUCUUAAUGGAAUCGACAGGUUUGCUUCCUCAAGUAUUGUAUUAUCAUUGACCUGUUAGGGUGUUUGUAAAUAUAAAUUUAGAUUAUUUUGUAAAUAGUCAUUUGAACAUCUAAAUCGCCAUUGUCAUU